UACAGAGGGUGCAAGCGUUAAUCGGAAUUAUUGGGCGUAAAGAGCUCGUAGGCGGCUUGUCACGUCGGGUGUGAAAGCCCGGGGCUUAACCCCGGGUCUGCAUUCGAUACGGGCUAGCUAGAGUGUGGUAGGGGAGAUCGGAAUUCCUGGUGUAGCGGUGAAAUGCGCAGAUAUCAGGAGGAACACCGGUGGCGAAGGCGGAUCUCUGGGCCAUUACUGACGCUGAGGAGCGAAAGCGUGGGGAGCGAACAGG
rnacentral:rRNA from 1 species